rnacentral:rRNA from 1 species
GUGGGGAAUAUUGGACAAUGGGCGCAAGCCUGAUCCAGCCAUGCCGCGUGAGUGAUGAAGGCCCUAGGGUUGUAAAGCUCUUUCACCGAUGAAGAUAAUGACGGUAGUCGGAGAAGAAGCCCCGGCUAACUUCGUGCCAGCAGCCGCGGUAAUACGAAGGGGGCUAGCGUUGUUCGGAAUUACUGGGCGUAAAGCGCACGUAGGCGGAUAUUUAAGUCAGGGGUGAAAUCCCAGAGCUCAACUCUGGAACUGCCUUUGAUACUGGGUAUCUCGAGUAUGGAAGAGGUGAGUGGAAGUCCGAGUGUAGAGGUGAAAUUCGUAGAUAUUCGGAGGAACACCAGUGGCGAAGGCGGCUCACUGGUCCAUUACUGACGCUGAGGUGCGAAAGCGUGGGGAGCAAACAGGAUUAGAAACCCGAGUAGUCC